GGAAAAAUGAUCAUCAAAUAAGAUGCCUUGCCCACCUUACAUUUAAAAGAAACAAAUUUGAAAUUGUCAACAUGUCUAACAGUGAAAUUGAGUGCACAGGUUUCUGUUUAAACAUCAGAUUCUACAAAGUCUGCCAAGAAUUCACUAGAAAAUUUUUGAAACAGUGUUAGAAUAUGUUCACUCUUAAUCUUACAGACGGGAUAUAGCUCAGUGGCACUGCACCUAUCUGGCAAGUGCAAAGUCCAUUUCUGUUACUGAAAAAAACAUAUAGUUAUUCUUUGUUUCCAUUAAAUUCUUUCUUAGUUUUAGAUUUUGCAAAUAGUAUAAAUUUUGUACUUAAGAGCGGGAGUUUUCAACCCCAUGGAACAGGCCAUAGACCAAUAGCUUUGCAUUGGCCUGUUAGAAUCAGGCCACAUGGGACACAAGCAGUAGGGAAGCUUGUCCUGUAUUUACAGCUGCUCAUCACUUGCAUUAGCACCUGAGGUCUACCUCCUUCAGAUCAGUGGUGGCAUUAGUCUCAAGAAGCAUAAACUGUCUUCCAUGAACCCAGUCUCUACAAAAAAAGUUGGGGACCUUAGUAUCAAUUACAAGAGGUCUUCAAAUUUGUAGGAAAAUAGGGAAAAAGUGAAUACCAUACCAAGUUGCUUACACUGAGCUGUAUCACCACUUAAUAUUUUCAGUACCUUAACUGAUUUUUUAUGUGUGACUUCAUAGAACGUUACAGAUUGAACUAAAGCCCCAUGCGUACCUCUUCUUUACCUCUUUUUUUUCUCCAGGGGUAAUCAUUACCCUAAAUUUAGCAUGUUUUUAUUCAGUGAUUCCUUUUCAAAGUGGGGAAUGACCUCUUUUCAGUAGUCUAAAUUUUUCUGUCUGGUUAACAAAAAUACUGCAGCUAUUGUAAUACUUAGCUGUUCGGUAAAGUACUUUGUUGUCCAGAUUCUUAAACAUAACUUUUUUGCUACACAUAGCCACCACUCUUGCAACUUCCUCCCUUUCUUCCAUUCUUACCUUUCUCUGCUUCUCAUUCCCACUUCAGUG
ensembl:lncRNA